CGGUGCUUUUAACAUUUUUAUUGAUUCUUUUUUUGAAAUGGAGUCUCGCUCUGUUGCCCAGGCUGGAUUGCAAUUGCUCGAUCUCAACCCACUGCAACCUCCGCCUCCGGGGUUCGAGCGAUUCUUCUGCCUCAGCCUCCUGAGUAGCUGGGAUUACAGGUGCGCGCCACCAUGCCCAACUAAUUUUGGUAUUUUUAGAGACAGGGUUUCUCCAUGUUGGUCAGGCUGUUCUCAAGCUCCCAACCUCAGGUGAUCAGCCCGUCUCGGCCUCCCAAAGUGUUGAGAUUACAGGUGUGAGCCACUGUGCCUGGCCGAUACUUCUUAAACUCUUACGCCUUACGUUUGGGGACUGCCAACUGAACUGUCCAGCAGCAGAGCUACUCAGAGCCAAGGCUCUCCACGGCAUCUUGUCCAGUCUCUCAGGAGUUAGCAGGCUUACACACGAGGAGACGAAGGCUCAGAGGAUAAGGUGCACAGGGUUACGUGGGAUUAGGGGCAGAGUUGUGAUUUAAACUCUAGUUUGAACUUCAAAACCCAGGCUCGCCCCUUUCCAGGAAAUGGGUCAGAUCCCAGGAAUAAUUUGGACAGGGGAAUCCUGGGAGAUAUUGGCCAAACCAGUUUAGUCUUCCCAACUGGGAGGGACAUCUGGUCACAGCGGGCCCUAAGUUUCUUUCCUGGCUUGCCCCUCCAGGGGUCGGACAGCUGCCCACUGGGUGCUAUUUGGAUCUCCCAGCCUGACCAGGUGCCCAAUCAUGGGCGGAGGCCACAUCCCACUUGCCGUGCACGACUGCAAAGGUUGUGCAGCCCGUGUGUGGCCGCCCUGGUAAUUCAACUUCUGCACAGGGAUCUGCUUCCACCGACUUCCUGCCACUGCCACUCAGCGGGCCCAAGACCGCUCAGAUGCAGAGUGAAGGCUCAAGGACCAUUCAGCCUGUGCAGGCCCCAGGCCCAGGAAAGUUAGUGUGUAGGCAGCACAGGUCAGUUUGCGGUGGAGGCUCCCUGGUGGUCUGUCCUUUUCUACCUUCCAGGGAAGAGCAUGAACCCUGGGCCCUCUUGCUUUACUCCAGCGGAAGCCACCUCUGCAGCCCAGGCCCAGCUGAGGUCACAGCUCACAGCCAUCCUUUCGUUUCUCACUUUCUGACAAUUGCAAAGACAGGAUGUGGGGGAGUGAGCCACAAGGGCCCCUGGGUCCUUCCUCCAAACCCAGAUGGGAACUGUUUGACCUGGGAAGGGAGGAAGCGCCUCUUCCUCAUGCCCCUGAAGAACAAUCAAGAGAC
rnacentral:lncRNA from 1 species